rnacentral:rRNA from 1 species
GGGCCCGCACAAGCGGUGGAGCAUGUGGUUUAAUUCGAUGCAACGCGAAGAACCUUACCAGGGUUUGACAUAGUACGAAGUUUUUGAAAAAAACCACCUUCGGGAACGUACAUACAGGUGGUGCAUGGCUGUCGUCAGCUCGUGUCGUGAGAUGUUGGGUUAAGUCCCGCAACGAGCGCAACCCUCACUUUUAGUUGCCAUCAUUAAGUUGGGCACUCUGAAAGAACUGCCAGUGAUAAGCUGGAGGAAGGUGGGGAUGACGUCAAGUCCUCAUGGCCCUUACGUGUUGGGCUACACACGUGCUACAAUGGUAUCUACAACAGGAAGCAAGACUGCGAAGUUAAGCAAAUCCCUAAAAGAUACCUCAGUUCGGAUUGCACUCUGCAACUCGAGUGCAUGAAGCUGGAAUU